rnacentral:lncRNA from 1 species
CACUGUUGCAACCGUUAUGUUCCCACAGGCCAGGUAAAUCCUUAGGUCAUGACGGAAGUCCCCCAAACUGCACUGAUGCUUGACUCACCAGAGCAACUUUCACAUCUCACCCUCACAGUGCACAUUUGCUACACUCUUGAUACAGGUCGCAUCUGAUGCAAGGCCCAGGAUGCCAGGGGGACAACUCUCUUGUUGGCAGCAGGGCAGUGGGGAAGGGGGACUCAAAGAGAGGGCAAGUGAUGUCAAGGAUCUGACGCCUUCUCCAGUGAAAUAGGAGAGGGCACCUUGAUGGUGGGGGUGGGGGUGGGAGAAGAGAUGCCUCUGUGGAGCGAGCAGUGCAGAAGCACCUGUGUAUCACAUUUUCAAGUCAGAAAUUCCAGCGAGGCCACAAGGAACCGUUGUCUGGCCUCAUGCAGCGGGAUACCAUGGUUCUGCCCUUCUUUUGAUGGGCAGAAUGAAGAUGCCUGUGGUGAUUUUCGGAAUAGGUGCCCCACAGUUUUAUAGAAGGCAAGGUGAGAGGUCAGGACAUAACAUUGAAGCUCAGCAGUGUGCUGAUGACCGCAGCACUCGCGCAAGGAGCAGUGAUUUCCUUUCCUUCAAAAGCAUUCCUUGCCUCUGUCCAAAUGAACUAUGAAAGAAAGAGGUAGGAGAUGUCACUGUUGCACGCCGCCCAGCACUGAGUUGCAUUCUGCUGCAUCCUGGUAAUUUAGUACUUCUGCGUAUACAAAGGCGUUGAUGUGGUUGGGUAGUUGGGAAACAAACUUGAACUUUGUGGUCUGUAUUAACUGCUGCUGCAAGGACAUCAAUGUCUUUUGGCCACAAAAGGGAUGCAGUACCGUCUCCACUGGCUUUGAAUGGAGGGCACCAGCUGAAAGAACAUUCUUGCCCAGGAGAGUGGCAGAGGUCAGCACAGACAUGCUUUCUGUGUUGUGCUGGCAGCCUUUGAAGAGGAAGCAGCAUUUCUGAGUGUGUCUGACAUCCCCUGCAAUCAGGAGAUACUACUCCCU